GCUAAGGCCCCUAAAUGGCCGCUCAGUGAUGAAGGAGGUAGGAGUACAAAGACAGCCAGGAGGUUAGCCUAGAAGCAGCGAUCCUUCAAAGAGUGCGUAAUAGCUUACUGCUCGAGCGCUCUUGCACCGAAGAUGAUCGGGACUAAGCGAUCUGCCGAAGCUGUGGGAUGUUAAAUAAAAAGAACAUCGGUAGGGGAGCGUUCCGCCUCAUAGGGAAGCAUCUGCGAGAGCAGAUGUGGACGAAGCGGAAGCGAGAAUGUCGGCUUGAGUAACGCAAACAUUGGUGAGAAUCCAAUGCCCCGAAAACCUAAGGAUUCCUCCGCAAGGUUCGUCCACGGAGGGUGAGUCAGGGCCUAAGAUCAGGCCGAAAGGCGUAGUCGAUGGACAACAGGUUAAUAUUCCUGUACUACCCUUUGUUGGUCCCGAGGGACGGAGUAGGCUAGGUUAGCCGAAAGAUGGGAUAUCGGUUAAAGGUCACAAGGUUACCCCGCUUUUCGGGGUAAGAAGGGGUAGAGAAAAUGCCUCGAACCAAUGUCCGAAUACCAGCGUUACGUCACUGAACCUGUUUCAGGACGGCGCUUAAGUACCCAUGUCAUACUCCCAGGAAAAGCUCGAACGACCUUCAACAAACGGGUACCUGUACCUGAAACCGACACAGGUAGGUAGGUAGAG
rnacentral:rRNA from 1 species